rnacentral:rRNA from 1 species
UGGGGUAUAUUGGACAAUGGGCGAAUGCCUGAUCCAGCCAUGCCGCGUGUGUGAAGAAGGUCUUCGGAUUGUAAAGCUCUUUAAGUUGGGAGGAAGUGCAGUAAGCGAAUACCUUGCUGUUUUGACGUUACCGACAGAAUAAGCACCUGCUAACUCUGUGCCAGCAGCCGCGGUAAUACAGAGGGUGCAAGCGUUAAUCGGAAUUACUGGGCGUAAAGCGCGCGUAGGUGGUUCGUUAAGUUGAAUGUGAAAGAACCGGGCUCAACCAGGGAAGUGCAUCCAAAACUGGCGAGCUAGAGUAGGGCAGAGGGUGGUGGAAUGUCCUGUGUAGCGGUGAAAUGCGUAGAUAUAGGAAGGAAGACCAGUGGCGGAGGAGACCACCUGGGCUGAUACAGACACUGAGGGGCGAAAGAGUGGAGAGGAAACAGG